GAUGAACGCUGGCGGCGUGCCUAAUACAUGCAAGUCGAGCGAAUGGAUUAAGAGCUUGCUCUUAUGAAGUUAGCGGCGGACGGGUGAGUAACACGUGGGUAACCUGCCCAUAAGAUUGGGAUAACUCCGGGAAACCGGGGCUAAUACGGGAUACCAUUUUGAACGGCAUGGUUCGAAAUUGAAAGGCGUCUUCGGCUGCCACUUUUGGAUGGACCAGCGUCGCAUUAGCUAGUUGGUGAGGUAACGGCUCACAAAGGCAACGAUGCGUAGCCGACCUGAGAGGGUGAUCGGCCACACUGGGACUGAGACACGACCCAGACUCCUACGGGAGGCAGCAGUAGGGAAUCUUCCGCAACGGACGAAAGUCUGACGGAGCAACGCCGCGUGAGUGAUGAAGGCUUUCGGGUCGUAAAACUCUGUUGUUAGGGAAGAACAAGUGCUAGUUGAAUAAGCUGGCACCUUGACGGUACCUAACCAGAAAGCCACGGCUAACUACGUGCCAGCAGCCGCCGUAA
rnacentral:rRNA from 1 species